AGUUGUUGCAGUUAAAAAGCUCGUAGUUGAAUUUCUGGUCUCGGACAGCGGUCUGCCUCAAACGAGGUACGCACCACCUGUUCAGGUCCAUCCUCGGAGAAAACAUGCCUGUGAUUCAGUUCAUGGGUAUGGGAUCUUCGUCAUUUACUGUGAGCAAAAUAGAGUGUUCAAAGCAGGCUUAUGCCGUUGAAUACAUUAGCAUGGAAUAAUAAAAUAAGACCUUGGUCUAUUUUGUUGGUUUGUACUCCAAGGUAAUGAUUAAUAGGGAUAGUUGGGGGUAUUCGUAUUCAAUUGUCAGAGGUGAAAUUCUUGGAUUUAUGGAAGACGAACUACUGCGAAAGCAUUUACCAAGGAUGUUUUCAUUAAUCAAGAACGAAAGUUGGGGGCUCGAAGACGAUCAGAUACCGUCCUA
rnacentral:rRNA from 1 species